CAAUAGCGUAUAUUAAAGUUGUUGCAGUUAAAAAGCUCGUAGUUGGAUUUGUGGCGUACGGUGUGUUCCGGGCGCUUGUUGUCUGAGUAACCUGCUGUUGCCAUCCUUGGGUGGAACCUGUGUGGCAUUAGGUUGUCGUGCAGGGGAUGCCCAUCAUUUACUGUGAAAAAAUUAGAGUGUUCAAAGCAGGCUUAUGCCGUUGAAUAUAUUAGCAUGGAAUAAUGAGAUAGGACUUUUUUGCUAUUUUGUUGGUUUGCGCAAAGAGGUAAUGAUUAAUAGGGACAGUUGGGGGUAUUCGUAUUCCAUUGUCAGAGGUGAAAUUCUUGGAUUUUUGGAAGACGAACUACUGCGAAAGCAUUUACCAAGGAUGUUUUCAUUAA
rnacentral:rRNA from 1 species